rnacentral:rRNA from 1 species
AUUGAACGCUGGCGGCAUGCCUUACACAUGCAAGUCGAACGGCAGCACGGGAGCAAUCCUGGUGGCGAGUGGCGAACGGGUGAGUAAUACAUCGGAACGUGCCCGGUAGUGGGGGAUAACCCGGCGAAAGCCGGACUAAUACCGCAUACGACCUGAGGGUGAAAGCGGGGGAUCGCAAGACCUUGCGCUACAGGAGCGGCCGAUGUCAGAUUAGCUAGUUGGUGGGGUAAAGGCCACCAAGGCGACGAUCUGUAGCUGGUCUGAGAGGACGACCAGCCACACUGGGACUGAGACACGGCCCAGACUCCUACGGGAGGCAGCAGUGGGGAAUUUUGGACAAUGGGCGCAAGCCUGAUCCAGCCAUGCCGCGUGCGGGAAGAAGGCC